GGCGGCUGAAAGUUUUUUCAAGCGGGCUCCUUCCGUCGUUUCCUUAAGGUCAACUUUAGUCUCCUCUGCUUUCAGUUUCACGAGCCAGCAACUUCAACUCCUAUCUCCUAUCUCUCCUCUAUCAAGUGGUAGGUGGUCUUGCUCAUCUGCUUGGACUCUGUGAACAAAUAUCAGUUAAAUCAUGGUACUCUAUAUCCGUUUGAAACUGGCAAGGACUUUAUAUUGUGAAUCACUUGAAGAAAGGACGUAUGGUAGUUUAUACCUGUAAUAUGGAGCUUUCCCCUUAUAGAAAACCAUGGUUUUCUUCACUCCAAUCACUCGGCUAUCGGAUGAGUAAACAUAACCAGGGGAGCCAGUGGCUUUCCAGUACCCAGAUGCUGUAGUACGGCUGGGUCUCCCUCCUCUAGCUUCUCUUUCUUGUCUUGGUGUGAAGAAGAACCAUUGCUCAGUGUCUCCUCGACACCGUUCUCCUGCAAGCACUGCAUCACAUUGCAAGAAGCAAACUUAAAGUACUAUUCAACUUCUAUAUGGAGCAUUUUAAAUCGUCAUUAACUUCAUGAAAAAACAAAGAAAUUUGAUUGAGAAGGAUUGUGUACUUGGGAGGUUCCAUGGCUCUAUGUUGUAAAUGUCAAUUACAGGGAUAACACGGUGUAGCUCCUGUCUCUUCCCGUCUAGCUUGUUAUGCAGGUAGAAGGAAACUAGCUCUUCUUCUGUUGGGUAGAAGCGAAAACCUGGCGGAAGUUCCACCAUUUUUGUUUUUAUUGUUGUUGCUAUUGUGUUUUGUUAUGUCUAAAUAUGUCUGCAUGAACUGUAUCUAUAUAGGGAGGUAUAUUGGGGAAAAGGAUGGGAGAUGGGUUUGCCGAGUGAAAUGAGAAAAAUUGGCAAGGGUUUGUGAUUGGCUGAAACUUCCACGCGGUUGUAGAAGAAGAUAAUGGUUUUUGCCCUAUGAUGUUUCGCCAGGCGUCCACAUACAUUCCUCAUCCAAUGGAAGGAUGCCUUGAACGAGUCAGACAUCCUUUUCUCCGAUGUGGUGCUUGUCCAUGAGUUAGUAGCUGCACGCUCCUGGGAUAAGAUUAUGCCAACCAUCGAUUGUUUUAUGGGUCCUCUUAAAGUGUUUAUCUUGUGAUAUAAGUAUAUAUAUUUAUUAAUAUCCAACUGAUGAUCGAAACGUUUUAGAGAUGAUGAGCUCAUUGUGGGGCUAGUACGUGCCAGGCGGAGGACGCAAAAGCUGGUCUUUUUUAUUUGUGGUUAUUUUAUAUCUUGCAUGUACAUAGAGCAUCAAUUUUCAAAGCACGUGCAAUUCGUAUAGAAUUGGCGAAUUUGACUUUCUCCUGCUAAUGUCAAGGUAAGGCUUAUGCUGAUUAGAGAAAUCAUGAUCCAAGUGUAAGAGGUAAGCUUCGUCAAUUCGAAUAUAAAUAUGCUUUCUCUUCAUAAUUCUUUCAUGUUAGUGAGCUAAGAUUAUUGGAGUAGUCUUCAAGCUGUAAAGUCUCCAUUUCUAAUCUAAAUCAGAGUAAAAUAAAUCAAAACAAUUUAAAAAAUACAAAAAUAACUUGGUGAAGAAAUAUAGUAUUGAACCUUUGAAGAAGUCCUAGUAUGGAUGAUGAUAAAUCUCAAUCACCCUCGGAAAAGAGUAAAAUAUAUUUGAUGCUGAGGUGAAUCGACUGAAAAAGACAGGAGAUAAAUUACGAACUUGUCAAGUGGCCUCUUUCUACUUCUAGCUACUCUAUAAGAUAUGGUGCUCGUUGUCUAGACCUAGUCUUUGAGCUCAUGAGUGAUAAAAUCGGGGGUGGGGAACAUGAAUUUGAUAUAAUGCUUGAAAACUCAGUACCCAUUUCAUUUGGUCCUUCAAAAACUCUUUAGUGUUCUGUUAUGUUUCGUAUCUUUUUUAUUUUUUUCUUUUUCUUAACGUAUCGACGCGGACUUGUGAUAAUAACACCAACGUUUUACCUUUUCAAUGUCAUACCCGCGUUUUGGGCUUUCGCAGGGAAAUUUUCUCAAACAUGUUAUAGGGGUUUUGGGUGAUAUCCUCUUUGACUUUAAACUUGAACCAUUUUAGACUUAACCAAAAUCAGCACGACAUUUACAACACUGACCUAGUCUCGACCGUUUAUGGUUCUUUUUACAUUUAUUUGAAUCUUAUUCCUAUUUUGUUAAAAAUCAAUAGUUAUUUUUUCAAAUAAUGAAAAAUAAUUGUUUUUAAUUCUGAAAAGAAAUUUGAGUCUGAUCAUAAUUACAAAAUACCUCAUCUUGACAUCACUAAGUGGUGCAAAGCAUGAUGCAAAAAAUGAACAGUUUUCAAGCAUCCAUGAAAUUAUUUUUUCAAUUAAUAGAAAAAUCAAGCUGUUUUUUAAGGAUAA